CAUGAGAGUUCUUUCCACCAGUGUGUGCUCUGAGCUCAGUGGAGGUGGAUGUCGAAGUUCGUCUCUUGGGGGUAGAAAGGGGUCGUCUGAUGUCCCUGGCUGUCCCUGCUGUGGUCAGACGAUGGGGCAAUCCGAGGUGUGCUAAUGAGGCAGUGAUAGCAGGUAACACACUCACCUGUGCCGCCAGAGUUAAUGGUGCCGAUGGUUGUGUUGUGGUCUGUGUCCAGGCCGCCGCCACCACCCUCUAGGGAGCUGUGAUCUCGUGGCAUCUUCUUCUGUGGACAAGGCCAGAGCUCAUCGUCCACACAUGGCGUGAAGUCAUGCAACACAACCAUCUUGCUGUCCGGUGAGAGCCCCGCCUCCUUCUCAAGGCCGACCCUCACCAGUGUUUCGAUGGAGGCUGAGCCAGUGAUGCGGCCCAGGCCUGGUGCACGGACCACCUUCUCUUCACCCUCAGAGACAUAGCCGCCAGACCCUGAAUAUUGGAUUUCCUGCACAAAAUCUGGAGUCCAGCAAUUGUCAGACAUAUGCUCAGUCAUCAGGGAACAGAAACUGAAGUCCGGACCAAAAGUCUGUAGUACUGCCAUGUCUGGUGGUUGCUCGACUUAUCCCUGGCCAAGUCCAAGCAUCAAAACAAAAGUCUGGCCAUACAUCAUCAGACUCCAUCCUCUGGUCUGCAACACCUAUUAGGUGGCUGCAUGUGCGCUGAACAUAUUUGUUUAUUGUUGUCUCGUGCUGUUAAACAGUUGUACUGUGACUUUACAUUUGCAUGUAAUUAUGGUAUGUGCUGGAAUGAGGCACCUAAAUAAUUUGCAUAAGUAUAAUAUUUUUGACCAAUAUUUAUAUUUUCAUUAUCUGAUUUUUAUACAAAGAAACAUUUAUUAGGAAAAAAAAUUGCAUGGUAUGUUAUGGUUAAGCACCCAAAGCUGAAAAAGAAAUGGCAGAGACUUCACAGUGAGUACCUAACAGUGGAUGAGAUUUUGAGGACUACGCAUUUGUAAGAGUUUAUGUAAAUUACAGUAUGGUUUAACCCGGUAGCAGCGCGGAUCAUGUUUCUUAAUGGUCCAUCUAAGCGAGAAAAACGAGAAAAAAUCAUCACUCACACAAACCAUUUCAUAAUAUAUAUCAAAGCAUUUAUGUAUCAUCUAUUUUUGGGGGUUUAUAUCAUGGCACAAAUUUGGCCCGUCGCUGCUACACGGCAAAGCCACAUAUUUGGCCCGUCGCUGCUACUGGGUUAAUAAGGGUCCAGAGGCUUUUUUGGGGAGGGGAAACCAAACAACAGCAGAAAUUCUCUAUUAGCAGAGGUCCACGUCACCCAACCCCUGUGAAUAAUGGGUACAGGUGUGCUACUUCUACCAUCACAUGCAUAUGCAGCCAACACAAAAACAGU